rnacentral:rRNA from 1 species
UCCCAGCCGUAAACGAUGCUCGCUAGGUGUCAGGCGCGGUGCGACCGCGUUUGGUGCCGCAGUGAAAACCUGAAGCGAGCCACCUGGGAAGUACGGUCGCAAGGCUGAAACUUAAAGGAAUUGGCGGGGGAGCACUACAACGGGUGGAGCCUGCGGUUCAAUUGGAUUCAACGCCGGAAAGCUUACCGGGUCAGACAGCAACAUGAAGGUCAAGCUGAAGACUUUACCGGAUU